GGGUAACCUGCCCUAUGCUGGGGAAUAACCUCGGAAAACGGAGAAUAAUACCCCAUAGUCCACCAUGCCUGGAACGGUUGGUGGAUCAAAGCUCCGGCGGCAUAGGAUGGGCCUGCGGCGUAUCAGGUUGUAGGGGGUGUAACGUACCCUCUAGCCAUCAACGCGUACGGGUGUUGGGAGACAUAGCCCGGAGAUGGAUUCUGAGACACGAAUCCAGACCCUACGGGGUGCAGCAGGCGCGAAAACUUGGCAAUGCGAGAAAUCGUGACCAGGGAACUCCAAGUGGCUGGGGGUAAGACCCAGUCUUUUCUUGACUCUUAAACGGUCUUGGAAUAAGGGGUGGGUAAGGACGGUGCCAGCCGCCGCGGUAAUACCGGCGCCUCAAGUGGUAGUCGAUUUUAUUGGGCCUAAAACGUCCGUAGCCUGUUUGGUACAUUCGUGGGUAAAUCAACCAGCUUAACUGAUUGAAUUCUGCGAGCACGGCCAGACUUGGGACCGGGAGAGGUGUGGGGUACGCUCAGGGUAGGGGUAAAAUCCUGUCAUCCUGAGCGGACCACCUGUUGGGAAGGCGCCACACUAGAACGGAUCCGACGGUCAGGGACGAAGCCUAGGGGCACGAACCGGAUUAGAUACCCGGGUAGUCCUAGGUGUAAACGCUGUGGACUUGGUGUGGGGGAUUCUCCGAGGAUCCUCAGUGCGGAAGGGAAGGUGAUAAGUCCUCUUCCUGGGGAGUACGGUCGCAAGGCUGAAACUU
rnacentral:rRNA from 1 species